rnacentral:tRNA from 1 species
GGUGGCUCAGUGGUAGAGUGCUUGCCUUCCAUGCCUGAGGCCCUGGGUUCGAUUCCCCAGCACCA